UGGGGAAUAUUGCGCAAUGGCCGAAAGGCUGACGCAGCGACGCCGCGUGUGGGAGGAAGCCUUUCGGGGUGUAAACCACUGUCAGGGGGGAAGAACUCCGGGUGUGGAAAUACUUCAUCCGGUUGACGGUACCCCCAGAGGAAGCGCCGGCUAACUCCGUGCCAGCAGCCGCGGUAAGACGGAGGGCGCAAGCGUUGAUCGGAUUUACUGGGCGUAAAGCGCACGCAGGCGGCCUUUUAAGUCCUUUGUGAAGGCCCGGGGCUGAACUCCGGAACAGCAGAGGAUACUGGAAGGCUGGAGAUCGGUAGAGGCUAGCGGAAUUUCUGGUGUAGCGGUGGAAUGCGUAGAUAUCAGAAAGAACACCUGUGGCGAAGGCGGCUAGCUGGGCCGAUUCUGACGCUCAUGUGCGAAAGCGUGGGGAGCAAACAGGAUUAGAUACC
rnacentral:rRNA from 1 species